UGGGAUGUGGCCAAGUGGUAAGGCAAUGGGUUUUGAUCUCUUUAUAAGGAGGUUCAAGUCUUUCUGUCCCAG
rnacentral:tRNA from 1 species